rnacentral:ncRNA from 1 species
GAUCGGUUUCGGUCCGCCGGACGCCAGCGACGGCGCCAGGGGAGGAAGCCGGUGAGACUCCGGCACGGUCCCGCCACUGUGAGCCAGGCAGCGAUGCCGGGUGAGUCAGGAACUCCCGCCGUCCUCCCACCGCC